rnacentral:snoRNA from 1 species
UGGACCAAUGAUGCUGAUCGUGACGGGAAGAGUCCUGAACGAUGAAAAUAUGUCUGAAACUCUGAGGUCCAG